GGACACUUGUGCUUGCAGUUAGUCAGGUCAAGUGGAGGUGGCUUUGUACAAGUCAGUGCCAACGCGCUUGCUGUCACGGGCCUGGGGUCGCCUCAAUCAGGUGGAGCUGCCACACUGGCUGCGCAGGCCCGUCUACAGCCUCUACAUCUGGACGUUCGGGGUGAACAUGAAAGAGGCCGCUGUGGAGGACCUGCAUCACUACCGCAACCUCAGCGAGUUCUUCCGGCGCAAGCUGAAGCCGCAGGCCCGGCCUGUCUGCGGCCUGCACAGCGUGAUUAGCCCAUCGGAUGGAAGGAUCCUCAACUUUGGGCAGGUGAAGAACUGUGAGGUGGAGCAGGUAAAGGGGGUCACCUACUCCCUGGAGUCGUUCCUGGGCCCGCGUACCUGCACAGAGGACCUGCCCUUCCCACCAGCCACCUCAUGUGACUCCUUCAAGAACCAGCUGGUCACCCGGGAAGGGAAUGAGCUCUAUCACUGUGUCAUCUACCUGGCCCCUGGGGACUACCACUGCUUCCACUCCCCUACUGACUGGACUGUGUCCCACCGGCGCCACUUCCCAGGCUCCCUGAUGUCAGUGAACCCUGGCAUGGCUCGCUGGAUCAAAGAGCUCUUCUGCCAUAACGAGCGGGUGGUCCUGACGGGGGACUGGAAACACGGCUUCUUUUCACUGACAGCUGUGGGGGCCACCAACGUGGG
rnacentral:sRNA from 1 species